rnacentral:rRNA from 1 species
CGGCGGACGGGUGAGUAACACGUGGAUAACCUACCUAUAAGACUGGGAUAACUUCGGGAAACCGGAGCUAAUACCGGAUAAUAUAUUGAACCGCAUGGUUCAAUAGUGAAAGACGGUUUUGCCGUCACUUAUAGAUGGAUCCGCGCCGCAUUAGCUAGUUGGUAAGGUAACGGCUUACCAAGGCAACGAUGCGUAGCCGACCUGAGAGGGUGAUCGGCCACACUGGAACUGAGACACGGUCCAG